rnacentral:misc_RNA from 1 species
GAGACCCUGACAUCUCCUCCAGCAGCAUCUGUCCUCUCUCCUCAGGGAGGCAAGCAUUUGAUGCUCGAGGUCCCUGGCAGUUGUGGUCCUUGGCAAGUGAUGUGAUCCUGUGCUCUCUGGGUGUCCCAGCCCCCUGAGAUUCGUACCCUGGAAGGAUCCUCUGCCUUCCUGCCCUGCUCCUUCAAUGCCAGCCAAGGGAGACUGGCCAUUGGCUCCGUCACGUGGUUCCGAGAUGAGGUGGUUCCAGGGAAGGAGGUGAGGAAUGGAACCCCAGAGUUCAGGGGCCGCCUGGCCCCACUUGCUUCUUCCCGUUUCCUCCAUGACCACCAGGCUGAGCUGCACAUCCGGGACGUGCGAGGCCAUGACGCCAGCAUCUACGUGUGCAGAGUGGAGGUGCUGGGCCUUGGUGUCGGGACAGGGAAUGGGACUCGGCUGGUGGUGGAGAAAGAACAUCCUCAGCUAGGGGCUGGUACAGUCCUCCUCCUUCGGGCUGGAUUCUAUGCUGUCAGCUUUCUCUCUGUGGCCGUGGGCAGCACCGUCUAUUACCAGGGCAAAUAUGCCAAAUCUACUCUCUCCGGAUUCCCCCAACUCUGAACUUUCCCUUCCACCAGGUCUGACCUGGAAAGGUCCAAGAAGGCAGCUGCCGGCUGUGGUCCCAGCGCCCCUCCCACCACCAUGUGGGAGCUCAGCACAUCUGCUUCCCCCAGUCCCAGGAGGCUGAGCCUGAUUGUCCUGAGAAAUGGGAAGGAUCAGAUAUGACUCCUCCUUGGCAACUGCCCUUUCCUGCCAGGCCCACACAUACCCUCUUCUGGCUGUUAGGGGAGCUUGGGUCCCUGAACACUGUCAUUCACCCAAUAAAUUACUAUUUGACCCCAGAGUGGGUGGAAGGGUGA